GAUGGUAUAGCUCAGUGGUAGAGUGCUUGCUGAGCAUGGACGAGGUCCUGAGUUCAAUCCCCAGUACCUCCA
rnacentral:tRNA from 1 species